AAGGAAGAGAAUCCCGAGAAGAAGGAGAGCCUUCAUGUUGACUGGGAAGCCAGACCUCCGGGCUGACCAGGGAGAGCAGUCCUCGAGCCCCAGCUGAAACCCUAAAAGAGUAGAAGGACAAAGAAUUUCCUCCCCCUGUCAUUUCUAGUGAUGAGGAUGGGCAAGUAGAAGGCUGGAAAACUCCUCUCUCCACAAAGACUGCAGUUGACUUGUAGGGUAACUGACAACAGACCAGCAGAAGGAUGAAUGGUUAAACAAAUUGUGGCACGUCUUACCCUAUGGAACACUACUCAGUAAUAGAAAAGGAGCGCAUUAUUGAUAUACACAACAUAAACUUGAAGGAACUUCAAGGAAAUUAUGCUGAAUGAAAAGAGUCCAUCUAAAAAGGAUACAUACUGGAUGAUCUCACUUAUUGAAGGAGAAAAUCAACCACAACACUGUAAGGAUGCUCAAAAAGGUCUAUGGAGAGGUCUGUGUAGUGAAAAACUGUGAAGUCUUUUGCCAAAGCCCACUUGGAAGUAAAUCCUUCGGCCCCCAUCAAGCCUUCAGAUGAUUCCAGCCUCAGCUGACAUCCUGACCACAACCUCACGAGAGAUCUUGCUCCAGAAGAACCCAGCUAAGCUGCCCUGAAGGUCCUCACCCACAAAAACGAGGCAAUUAGUAGCUGUUUACCACAGAAGUCACUACAUUUGGGGGUAAUCUGUUAUACGGCAAUAGAGUCAUCUCACAGAUGAAGUAUUUUGAAGAUACCUGGGCCAACUAGAUGAUCUGCUCAUGAUGAAGCUGUUCAAACUUUGCAACAUGGGCUCAAAAACAUUUUAAGGGCUCCAAAAUAUAUUUUUCAAAGAUUUGAAAAGAAGCCGAAUCGUGAAGCUGCAGCAUGUUUUUUUCCCUAACAGCUGAUAAAGCUCUAAUACACCAUUAAAUUCCUUUUAAAUAAUUAUAAGAUUAUAGGAAAGUUGAAAGAAUAUUAUAAACUUUCCCUGAAUCAUUUGAAAAUAAAUUUCUGAGCAGAUGUCCAUCA